UAAGGAAUAUUGCUCAAUGGGAGAAAUCCUGAAGCAGCAACGCCGCGUGGAGGAUGAAGGGUUUUUAACUUGUAAACUCCUGUAAAGAAGGAAAAAAUUCCCAUUAGAUGGGAAAUGAUGGUACUUCUGGAGUAAGCCCCGGCUAACUACGUGCCAGCAGCCGCGGUAAUACGUAGGGGGCAAGCGUUGUCCGGAUUUACUGGGUGUAAAGGGUGCUCAGGCGGAUCUGUAAGUCAGAGGUGAAAUCUCACAGCUUAACUGUGAAACUGCCUUUGAUACUGCAAGCCUAGAGUAUGGAAGAGAGUGAUGGAAUAUCUGGUGUAGCAGUGAAAUGCGUAGAUAUCAGAUAGAACACCAAUGGCGAAGGCAGUCACUUGGUCCAUAACUGACGCUAAAGCACGAAAGCGUGGGUAGCAAACAGGAUUAGAUACCCUGGUAGUCCACGCCCUAAACGAUGAAUACUAGAUGUUGGCUUCGCAUGAAGUCAGUAUCUGAGCUAACGCAUUAAGUAUUCCACCUGGGAAGUACGAUCGCAAGGUUGAAACUCAAAGGAAUUGACGGGGUCAUAGCUGUUUCCUG
rnacentral:rRNA from 1 species